CAUUCAGUCUGAAGCCACAGGUGAAGAACCCAGCUCACUGGAAUAACUGCUUGAGUUGCGUGCUAACUUCUACUGAGCAAACCUUACAGCAGGAUUUUGAUCCAGGCGCAAAGCUGCAUAUUCACUUUAGGUUUCAGUUCCAAAUUGCAAGAAUGUUCAACUGAAAAAUGCGCCUAUUUUCCAAUAUGGAACUCUUCUCUGCUCCUGACUGCUCUUUUCCAGUGGUUUAACUUAACUACAGCAGAGAGAGGCUGGAUGGGAGCAGUGAGAGAUCACAUCACAUCUAUCUGAAUUAACAAGGCUACAAACAACUACACUUAGUUCAACUAAGCUGAAUGGAUCAACAAAUAAGUAGAACUACUCUUUUCCACAGCUUCCCAACAGCUAUCAGGCUGCAUUUGCUUCAAGAACAGGACCAAAUAGUUUGUAGAACUGUAAGCAGAUGGAAAUAUACUUGGUCCAGAUCUCUACCUGUACACAAAAAUCCAUCCUGUAUCUGUCUCAUUAAAGGCUGCUUUUAACAACAGCACAGGUUGCAAUGACAGUACCUGCAAUGACAGAGAAGCUAUGCAGCCCUCAUGCCAUUGAAGCUGAUAGGGAACUCAAUCCACCUAGGGAUAUAUAUGUUAUAUAUAACAUACAUGCAGCAGAAGGUCUGCACCUGCUAUCAAUAGGCCAUGCAUGCAACAAAGAGCCAUGGGUUGUGUCUAACUCUGACAGAGACAUUGCAUCUGUAAGAACUUCAGAGGCUGCAGGAGAUGCUGUCAGGCUCAGGAGAAACAAAACAUCAGCCUGAGGAAGCACCCAGCACCACGGACUCCUGUUUCAGGAAAGGCAUAGAGGGAAAUAGAAAAUAAUGGAAUAAAUGGGAAAAGCUUCAAGAGGAUGGAUAAUAAAAGCCAGUAUAACCAGGUAAUUGCUCACUGCUUUCUCACCCAGGUAUUGCACACCAAAUGUCAUGCAGUGGUUAGUUAUGCUGUAAGGUGACAUCCAGCAGUCACAAAAGCUUCCUCAGCAAGGAAGUUCCCAAAUUUAACAAAACCAGUGAGAAUACUCAGCUUUGUAAGCAGGCAGGCAGGCUUUAAGGAAACAUCUGGGCUAAUCACAUAGGAAACAGCAGAACUGAAAAUCCAAACCAAGAAGGCAAUCUGCACUCACAGGAAAGUUUGGUCCCAGGUGACCACAAAAGUGUUGAGAGCAUCAUGUCCUUACUUUCAAAGGUCUCUAAGUACUGCUCCAGUGGAACACAUGGGUGGAACUGGAAAGGGAAAAAGCCCCAAACCCCAAAAUUCAGUGUCACCUUGUGUCACGAAAUCCAUGCCCAUGUUUUCUACAUUUACCUGGAGAAGUGAUACAAGCCCUGGAGGGCUGCUACUGUGCCUUUUCCCGUCUUAUCCCUCAACCUCCAUCCGUUAAUAAUGAUCUACGUAAUCCACGUGUCAUGUGAUAUAGUCAUCAAAAAGUGAUGUACCUGCACAUAACACAUACAAAACAAUAUGAGAAGAUAUUUUUAAGAAGAAGAGAGAACCUUAAACAUUAAUAAGUAGCAAAUCUGUGAAAUCAAAGCAUUUUCCUCCUUUUUUUAUAAUAGCCUUUCAUUCUUUUUAUGAUUUGUCUUUGAAAGCUCUUAAGCUCUUCCUGUGGAUGACAGUUGAUAUUGUUCUUCCAUCCUGCUGCAGACAGCACAAGGGAGGGAGGGAAAGGAAAAAAAAAACUAUUGUACAGCUUUUCGUCUCUGAAACAUGAUUUUUAUAAUUAAUAUAUACAACUGAGAAGAGAAAGGUACGUUAUAAUGAAGUGCAAUUAAGAGGUGUUUGUUCCUGUCCCACACAUAAGAUGACUAUAAUUUCCUUGGCUGUUUAGAAGUCAACCAUUAUCAUUACAUUUCACACAUCUUUUCUACUUUUUUUUUUUGCACUUCUGAUUUUGUUUAUUUUCAAUUAAAAUCUCCAAAUAAACAUGCAUACAUACAGAAAAUCUGAUAUUCAAGUAACAUCAUCUUUUAAUUAUAUUGUGCAGUGAUCAUUAAACCUAGUGCUUAUACUAACCUUUUUGGAUUUAAUUUCAUAGACAUGAAUGGAUCUGUCAAUUUUGCAUUGACUUAAAUUCAUGCAAGGGAGAAUAGAAUGUGCAUUUACACAGACUAUACUGCAUGUAAACACAGAUGUAUUAUUAUAGGAGUAAUUUAAAGCUAUUCUUUUGGCAUAUUUGUUUUUAAAUUCCCCAAAUUCAUAUCACAGCAUAGUUUUCCACUUUAAAUUUUGCAUUAAUAUUAUUUGCAUUAGUGCAAUGAGUACCCUUUCAAAUCUCACAUAGACCCACACAAAGAAGCAAUCACUGCCUAGGAGAUCUUCCAGAGUGAAGAUAUUGAGGGGACAAACCAUGAAGAACAAGACAUAUUCUCACUGAUGUGAUGGUGACAUUUUUGUUACCCUUUAAAUGCAGCUUCCCUGAGAGGGUUUCUUCCCAUUUAUGUCCCGGCCCAAGUUGGGACUAGUCCAGCUGAAGCCACAGUAGAUCAAAGCUGGAGCCUUGGCUGCCCUAACCCAGCAAAGAGCCCUGCAGGGACUGGGGAAGUUCAGACUGACAGCUGAGUCUGUUUUGAGCUGAACUGCCAUUAAACAAGUGCCUUCUUCCCAGUUCAGAUUUGUAAAACCUUUAGAAAGUGAGCCCAGAAGGAGCUACAAAGGCCAUUGCUGACAGCCAAACAGAUGCAGACAGACAAACUGAAAACUCAAGCCUGAUUAAAGCCCCUAGAAACAUAUGGAAAAAUUAACAUUAAACACAGUGGGCUCCUGCACAGAGGCAAUUUACCUCAACAGGAAGUAGAUGUUACUUAUCUUCAAAUAAGAAAAUAAUUUUUCUGUUUAGGUAUUUCUAUUGCUGAAAAUAUUCUUUGACACUGAAAUUACUUGAUUUUUUUUUUCCCAGUUUUGCUCAUGUGCUGCUAUUUCUGCUGAAAAUUUUGAUAGACAUAAUUGUAUUUCUCUAUGUGUACUUGUGCCAAUUAAGCUAAAUAACUCAAUUGUUCUUGCAAUGAGUAUGAACACAUUUACCAGAGCAAAUAUUUUCUUUGAAUUGUUUUUGUAUGUUUUUGUUUCUACAGAAUGCUUCCUGAGAAAAAUAGUCCAGCUUUAGUUGUAACAGACUAUUUCCACUCUAUGUAAGACUCUAUGUAAAACAUGCUGCUGUUGUUUGCUUUUAUUUUUUUUUUUUGUGGCUGUAGUUCUAAAAAUAACUGAAGAGAUAAAUGUAUUACAUUUUCCAUACUGGAAA